UCUGCCUGAAGAAGAGAAUAAUCCCGGGAAACUGGGGGUAAUGCUCUAUAGUCCGGGAGGACUGGAAUGUUCUCCGGAUGAAAGAUCCGUCGCUUCAGGAUGAGUCUGCGGCCGAUUAGGUAGUUGUUGGGGUAAAAGCCCAACAAGCCUGUAAUCGGUACGGGUUGUGGGAGCAAGAGCCCGGAGAUGGAUUUUGAGACACGAAUCCAGGCCUUACGGGGCGCAGCAGGCGCGAAAACUUUACAAUGCGGGCAACCGUGAUAAGGAAACCCCGAGUGCCAGCACAGGCUGGCUGUCCACCAGUGUAAACAACUGGUGAAGAAAGGGCCGGGCAAGACCGGUGCCAGCCGCCGCGGUUAAAUACCGGCGGCUCGAGUGGUGGCCGCUUUUACUGGGCUUAAAGGGUCCGUAGCUUGAUCCAUGGGUCCCUUGAGAAAUCCAUCAGCUUAACUGCUGGGCGUUCAGGGGAAACUGUGGUUCUAGGGACCGGGAGAGGUAAGAGGUACUGCCGGGGUAGGAGUGAAAUCCUGUAAUCCCGGUGGGACGACCUAUAGCGAAGGCAUCUUACCAGAACGGCUCCGACAGUGAGGGACGAAAGCUGGGGGAGCAAACCGGAUUAGAUACCCGGGUAGUCCCAGCUGUAAACGAUGCGCGUUAGGUGUGUCAGUGACCACGUGUCACUGAUGUGCCGAAGGGAAACCGUGAAACGCGCCGCCUGGGGAGUACGUCGCAAGGCUGAAACUUAA
rnacentral:rRNA from 1 species